GAUGAACGCUGGCGGCGUGCCUAAUACAUGCAAGUCGAGCGAACAGACGAGGAGCUUGCUCCUCUGACGUUAGCGGCGGACGGGUGAGUAACACGUGGAUAACCUACCUAUAAGACUGGGAUAACUUCGGGAAACCGGAGCUAAUACCGGAUAAUAUAUUGAACCGCAUGGUUCAAUAGUGAAAGACGGUUUUGCUGUCACUUAUAGAUGGAUCCGCGCCGCAUUAGCUAGUUGGUAAGGUAACGGCUUACCAAGGCAACGAUGCGUAGCCGACCUGAGAGGGUGAUCGGCCACACUGGAACUGAGACACGGUCCAGACUCCUACGGGAGGCAGCAGUAGGGAAUCUUCCGCAAUGGGCGAAAGCUUGACGGAGCAACGCCGCGUGAGUGAUGAAGGUCUUCGGAUCGUAAAACUCUGUUAUUAGGGAAGAAAAAAUGUGUAAGUAACACUGCACGUCUUGACGGUACCUAAUCAGAAAGCCCCGGCUAACUACGUG
rnacentral:rRNA from 1 species